AGCAUAUCAAUAAGCGGAGGAAAAGAAACCAACAGGGAUUACNUCAGUAACGGCGAGUGAAGCGGUAACAGCUCAAAUUUGAAAGCUCGCUCUUUUAGGGUGCGCAUUGUAAUUUGUAGAAGAUGCUUCGGGUGUGGCCCCGGUCUAAGUUCCUUGGAACAGGACGUCAUAGAGGGUGAGAAUCCCGUAUGUGACUGGGUGCUUUCGCUCAUGUGAAGCUCUUUCGACGAGUCGAGUUGUUUGGGAAUGCAGCUCAAAAUGGGUGGUAAAUUUCAUCUAAAGCUAAAUAUUGGCCAGAGACCGAUAGCGCACAAGUAGAGUGAUCGAAAGAUGAAAAGCACUUUGGAAAGAGAGUUAAACAGUACGUGAAAUUGUUGAAAGGGAAGCGCUUGCAACCAGACUUGCGCGCUGAUGAUCAUCCGGGCUUCUGCCCGGUGCACUCGUCUGCGCUCAGGCCAGCAUCGGUUUUGGUGGUGGGAUAAAGGCCUUGGGAAUGUAGCUUCUUUCGGGGAGUGUUAUAGCCCUCGGUGCAAUGCCGCCUACCGGGACCGAGGACCGCGCUUCGGCUAGGAUGCUGGCGUAAUGGUUGUAAGCGACCCGUCUUGAAACACGGACCAAGGAGUCUAACAUCUAUGCGAGUGUUUGGGUGUCAAACCCAUACGCGUAAUGAAAGUGAACGGAGGUGAGAACCCUUAAGGGUGCAUCAUCGACCGAUCCUGAUGUCUUCGGAUGGAUUUGAGUAAGAGCAUAGCUGUUGGGACCCGAAAGAUGGUGAACUAUGCGUGAAUAGGGUGAAGCCAGAGGAAACUCUGGUGGAGGCUCGCAGCGGUUCUGACGUGCAAAUCGAUCGUCAAAUUUGCGUAUAGGGGCGAAAGACUAAUCGAACCAUCUAGUAGCUGGUUCCUG
rnacentral:rRNA from 1 species